UACGUAGGAGACGAGCGUUGUCCGGAGUUACUGGGCGUAAAGGGCGCGCAGGCGGCCGCCCGCGUGUGUGGUGAAAGCUCCUGGCUUAACUAGGAGAGGUCCAUGCAGACGGGGUGGCUUGAGCGUCGGAGAGGGGCAUGGAAUUCCGGGUGGAGCGGUGAAAUGCGUAGAGAUCCGGAGGAACACCAAUGGCGAAGGCAGUGCCCUGGCCGACGGCUGACGCUCAGGCGCGAAAGCCAGGGGAGCGAACGGG
rnacentral:rRNA from 1 species